rnacentral:rRNA from 1 species
GACGAACGCUGGCGGCGUGCUUAACACAUGCAAGUCGAACGGAAAGGCCCUGCUUUUGUGGGGUGCUCGAGUGGCGAACGGGUGAGUAACACGUGAGUAACCUGCCCUUGACUUUGGGAUAACUUCAGGAAACUGGGGCUAAUACCGGAUAGGAGCUCCUGCUGCAUGGUGGGGGUGGGAAAGUUUCGGCGGUUGGGGAUGGACUCGCGGCUUAUCAGCUUGUUGGUGGGGUAGUGGCUUACCAAGGCUUUGACGGGUAGCCGGCCUGAGAGGGUGACCGGCCACAUUGGGACUGAGAUACGGCCCAGACUCCUACGGGAGGCAGCAGUGGGGAAUAUUGCACAAUGGGCGGACGCCUGAUGCAGCAACGCCGCGUGCGGGAUGACGGCCUUCGGGUUGUAAACCGCUUUCGCCUGUGACGAAGCGUGAGUGACGGUAAUGGGUAAAGAAGCACCGGCUAACUACGUG